rnacentral:rRNA from 1 species
AAUGAACGCUGGCGGCAUGCCUAACACAUGCAAGUCGAACGAAGGCUUCGGCCUUAGUGGCGCACGGGUGCGUAACGCGUGGGAAUCUGCCCUUGGGUUCGGAAUAACGGGUAGAAAUGACUGCUAAUACCGGAUGAUGUCGUAAGACCAAAGAUUUAUCGCCCAAGGAUGAGCCCGCGUAGGAUUAGCUAGUUGGUGGGGUAAAGGCCUACCAAGGCGACGAUCCUUAGCUGGUCUGAGAGGAUGAUCAGCCACACUGGGACUGAGACACGGCCCAGACUCCUACGGGAGGCAGCAGUGGGGAAUAUUGGACAAUGGGCGAAAGCCUGAUGCAGCAAUGCCGCGUGAGUGAUGAAGGCCUUAGGGUUGUAAAGCUCUUUUACCCGGGAUGAUAAUGACAGUACCGGAAGAAUAAGCUCCGGCUAACUUCGUG